AUGUGAGUCCAUUGUCUCACAUGGACACAGAAAAAAAAACAUCUCAGCCUCUGAGCAUCUAAGCUAAGGGAAGAGAAAGGUGAGGCUCAAUCCCCUGCUUGGAGUAGUGAAUACAGUGAUGGCAAUGGCCAGCACUCCGCUGGUUGUCCUGAUGAAAAAACAGAAGCCCACAAUGUACAAAGUCUACCUGCUAAGUGAUGGCAAUCAGGACUUGAACCCAGAAUUUAGUCUCCUGAUCCUUAGCAACU